CCUGUGCCUUUUACUUCUUUAA
rnacentral:miRNA from 1 species